ensembl:lncRNA
GUCACUGGGUUCAGACCAGUGAGUGGCCUCUGGUUGGGGGAGAACUAGAAGUAGCUCUGUAAGGUCAGGUCCUGGCAAAACAGGGAGAUGAAUCUCGAUUCCAGGCCUGGCUCAGCUGUUCCCAUGGUGAACACAGGAUCUUGCUGUGCCCCUUACUGGCUGUAGGUAACACUCAUUACCUUAUAGCUUUUUUUUUUUUUUUAAAGUACAAACCCAUUUUUUUUCACAUUCGUUUUAAAAUGGAAUAGGUGAAGAGCCAUGGGGUUUCUUUUUUUGUUUAUUUUUCCUGAAGCCCUAUAGCUAAACACUGUUACAAUGAAAAGUUCACAGUAAAUCAUUCUUUUUGCAAUGUGGAAAGGUAAAGAUAAACAACUUUAAACAAUUGCAGGUGACAGCUCUUUCUACUCUAGACUAUUCUAGUAAUGUUUUGUGAAAAAAUAAGUCACUUGUAUCAGAAAUGCACAGGUGGAAUUUGAACUAAAAACACAAUGCCAUUUAUAUUAGUACUCCCCAGAAUUAAAUAGUAUCAAUCUAGUAAAACCUAUACAAGACCUAUAUGAGGAAAACUCCUGAUGAGAGAAAUCAAAUUAAUAGAGAUUAUAUGUUCAUGAAAGGGAAGACUUGAUAUUGUGAACUGUGAAAUUCACUUCUUUUGAAUUUGAUCUAAAGAUCCAACAAAAUCCCAACAAGUUAUUUUGUGGGUUUUUUCUUUUUCGUUUUUGCUGGGAUUGAACCCAGAUCUUCACUCAUGCUGGGCAAGUGGUCUACCUUGAGCUACAUACCCCAGGUCUGACUCCAAAGUUUACGGAAGAGGUAAAAGACUCAGAAUAAGCAGCUCACUAUUGGAGGAUAAGGAUGAAGUCUGAAUACAGAUACUGCCUGACUUAAACAUUUAAUAAAAAGCUACAGUAAUCAAAACAAUUUUUUAAAAGUACAUCAAUGGAACAGAAGAGCCUAGAAGUUAGACCCACAUAAAUACGGUCAAUUGACUUUUGACAAAGGAACAAAGACAAUACACUAAUGCAAUGAGAAAGUAUUUUUAACAAAUGAUGCUGGAACAGCUAGACAUCCACAUGCCAAAACAUGAAUCUAAACAGACCUUACACUCUUCGUGAAAAUUACCUUACAAUAAAUCACAGACCUACAUGUAAAAUACAAAAACUUUAAAAAAUAAAAAAUAAAAAACACGAAAACUGUAAAACUCCUAGAAGACAACUUACAAGAAAAUCUUGUUCAGCAGUGACUUUUUAUUAUUAUUAGUUUUUUGUUUGGUUUGGUUUGGUACCGGGAAUCAAACUCAGGACCUUGUGCUUGCAAGGCAGGCAGCAGAACCACUGAGCUAAAUCCCAGGCUCAGCAAUGACUUUUUAGACCUGACACCAAAGGCAUGAUUCAUGAAAGAAUUGAUAAACUGAACUUUGUUGAAAUUAAAAACUUAUGCUCUGUGAAAGACACUUAAGAGAAUAAUAACACAAGCCACAGGUUGAGAGAAAGUACUGGGAAAAAUAUAGAAUACACAAAAAACUCUGAAAACCAUAAGAAAAUGAGCCAAAGACUAACAGAUGCCUCACCAAAGAUACACAUAUGAUAAGUGUAUGAAAAAAAUGUUCCCCAUCAUAGGUCAGUAGGGAAACGCAAACUAAACAGCAGUAAGUUAUCACUACAGCAUUAGAGUGGGCAACAUCCAGGACACCUAAGACACCACAUGCUGGUGAGGGUGUAGAACCAUGGAUGAUCAAAUUCAUUGCUGAAGAGAAUGUGAAGUAGUGCCACUUUAGAAGACAGUUUGGUAGUUUCUUACAAAAGUAAGCAUAAUCUUACCAUAUCCAGCAACCAUGUUUUUUAAGUAUUUACCCCAAUGCCCAGAUGAGCUGAAAUUGUCCGUCCACACAACAACCUGCACAGAAAAAAGAAUUAUUUUUGGUACUGGAGAUGAAAUCCAGGACUUAGCAUAAGCUAGGCAAGCACUCCGCCACUGAGCUAUAUCUCUAGCUCUUUUUACUUUUUGAGACAAAAUCUUGCUAAAUUGCCCAGCCUGACCUCAAACCUGUGAUCCUCCUGCCUCAGCCUCCCAGAGUGCACCACUACAUCUAGCUUUGGCAGCUUUAUUCUUUUUUUUUUUUUUUUUGGUACCAGGGAUCAAACUCGGGUCCUUGCACUUGCGCAGCAGGCAGCAAAACCACUGAGCAAAAUCCCCAGCUUGGCAGCUUUAUUCUUAAUUGCCCAAAUUUGGAAGUAACCAAGGUGUCCUUCAGGAGGUGAAUAGAUAAGAAAUGGCCAUACAACCAGAUUCAGUGUUUUAAAAAGUGAGCUGUCAAACCAUGAAAAUAAUCUUAAAAGGCUGUAUGAUUCCGACCAUGUGACAUUCCAGAAAAGGCAAAACGUUGGAGAUAGAAAAGGGUCAUUGACUGCCAGGGUUGUAUGUGUGGCGGAUGAAGAGGUGAAGCAGAGAGGGUUUUUAGGGCACUGAGAUUAUGCUCUGUAUGAAACUGCAAUGCUGGAUAUGUGAUUAUAAAUUUGUCUAAACAUUUAACAUGUACAAUCCCAAGAGUGGUUCCUAAUGCAAACUGUGGUCAUUAGAUAAAAAUAAUACGGCAAUGUGGGUUUGUCAGUUGUAACAAAUGGACUACUAUGGUGGAAUAUAUUGAUGAUGGUUAGGCUAUAUAAGUGGUGGUAGAGGGGAAGAGAUUUGUAGGAAAGUUCUACAUUUUUCUCUCAAUUUUGCUCUGAACUUAAAACUGCUCUAAGGAAUAAAAUUGAUGAAUAAAUAAUGAGUUGAGCCCAAGCAUGCUAAAAUUUAAAGAACUUUUUAACUAAACUGUAUUUAAUAUUGUCAACUUCUGGCUUGAUGGCUUUGUGACAGUUUGAGCCUUCUGUGUGCUUGAUGAAAGAAGAAAUGGCUAUUUCCAUUGAAUAUGUGGGUCACAGUGAACAGCCUCAAGAACAUUCUGGAAAUCUGAAAGGAAAACAGCAGGCUUACGAAACCAGAGGUGGGAGAGUCUGCAAUGGCUGGCUGUGCCCGGAGAGCUGGAGGAUCCAGGAGUUGCUCAGCCCAAGAAGCUGGAAGCCACAGAAUAAGAAGGAUCAACAGUCAGUGCCAGUUGGAGACUGAAGGCAUGAAGAGGCCCUUGAGUCACUGGUAUAAAUCUGCAUUGAAAGGCUGAAGAAACUGGAGUGUGGUUCUCCACAGGCAAUUACAGUAACAAAAGUUCUGCCCACUCAAACAGAAUGGAGCUUUUCAAGCACAUCCCACCUUGCACUUUCUUUCCCUUUUGUUUCAUCCAAGCUACAAGCUGAUAGGAUGGUACCAUUAUGGAAGUCCACUUUUGUGUUUUUAUGAGGUGUGAUAAAUACAGUAAAUGUUGCUGCAAAGUGCCAUCCAACAGAAAGGUACACUUGUGAAAACAUUACAGUGGGUUCUUAUCCACCUUAUUUACCAGAUCUGGCACUGUGAAACUUCUGGCUCUUCCCCGAAGUCAAAAUGACCAAGAAAGCUGAAUGAUUUGAACAGAUCAGGACAUCGAGGCCGCCACAACAGAGCGACUAAAGACUCAAAAGAGGACUUCCACAACUGCUCCAGAAAGUGGCAAGAAUGAUGGGACAAGUGUGUUAAAGUAUUUUGAGGGGAAUUAAUGGCAAUGUAUUUUACUGCAAUAAAUUUUUGAAAAAUUUCAAUAUUCAUCAUAUGUUUCAAUCAUACCACAUAUACUUACUGAUUUUUCUCCCUACUUAUUCUAUUAGUUAUUGUGAAAGGAGAUGUUGUGUGGGUUUAUCUAUUUUCUUAGAUCUAUUACUUUUUUGGGGGGGUACCGGUGAUCGAACUCAGGACCCUGUGCUUUCGAGGCAGGGGCGGUGCCAGUGAGCUAAAUUCCCGGCCCUAGUUCUAUUACUUUUUGCUUCAUAUAUUUUGAAGCUCUGUAUUUAGAAGAUAAAUAGGAAUAUUAUGACCUCUUGAAGAAUUAAUCCCUUUAUUAUGAAAUACCCUUUUCCCU